rnacentral:tRNA from 1 species
GAGAUGUUAGUAAAACAAUUACAUCACCUUGUCAAGGUAAAAUUAUUGGUUAAAUUCCAGUACAUCUCA